rnacentral:ncRNA from 1 species
ACUGUUCCCUGGGAUUGUCUUUGGGUUCUUCUUGUGCAUCUUAGGUGGAAGGCUAAGAAGGCUCCCUCUCGGGGGGGCCUGAGCCACCAGUGAGAUACCACUUUGGAAGAGAUAUAAUUCUAACCUUGUGUCAGGACCUAUAGGCUAAGGGAAAAUCUCAGGUAGACAAUUUCUAUGGGGCGUAGGCCUCCCAAAAGGUAACGGAGGCGUGCAAAGGUUUCCUCGAGCUGGACAGAAAUUGGCCCUAGAAGAAAUAACUAAGGAAUGGCCUACAGAGCUCCUUAUCCUUGUUGACCCCGCAGAACUGUUUGAUAUCGAACUAAUCAGA